UACGUAGGGUGCAAGCGUUGUCCGGAAUUAUUGGGCGUAAAGGGUGCGUAGGUGGCGAGGUAAGUCGGAUGUGAAAGCUCGGAGCUCAACUCCGAAAUGGCAUUGGAAACUACCUUGCUCGAGGGUUGGAGGGGGGACUGGAAUGCUUGGUGUAGCAGUGAAAUGCGUAGAUAUCAGGAGGAACACCAAUUGCGAAGGCAGCUCGCUGGGACGUUACUGACGCUGAGACGCGAAAGCGUGGGGAGCAAACAGG
rnacentral:rRNA from 1 species